CCUACGGGAGGCAGCAGUGAGGAAUAUUGGUCAAUGGACGAGAGUCUGAACCAGCCAAGUAGCGUGAAGGAUGACUGCCCUAUGGGUUGUAAACUUCUUUUAUAUGGGAAUAAAACGUUCCACGUGUGGGAUUUUGUAUGUACCAUAUGAAUAAGGAUCGGCUAACUCCGUGCCAGCAGCCGCGGUAAUACGGAGGAUCCGAGCGUUAUCCGGAUUUAUUGGGUUUAAAGGGAGCGUAGGUGGAUUGUUAAGUCAGUUGUGAAAGUUUGCGGCUCAACCGUAAAAUUGCAGUUGAAACUGGCAGUCUUGAGUACAGUAGAGGUGGGCGGAAUUCGUGGUGUAGCGGUGAAAUGCUUAGAUAUCACGAAGAACUCCGAUUGCGAAGGCAGUUCACUGGACUGCAACUGACACUGAGGCUCGAAAGUGUGGGUAUCAAACAGGAUUAGAUACCCGAGUAGUU
rnacentral:rRNA from 1 species